rnacentral:rRNA from 1 species
AGCGAACGCUGGCGGCAGGCCUAAUGCAUGCAAGUCGAGCGGUCACUUCGGUGGCAGCGGCGGACGGGUGAGUAACGCGUGGGAACGUGCCCUUUGGUUCGGAACAACACAGGGAAACUUGUGCUAAUACCGAAUGUGCCCUUCGGGGGAAAGAUUUAUCGCCAUUGGAGCGGCCCGCGUUGGAUUAGCUAGUUGGUGGGGUAAAGGCCCACCAAGGCGACGAUCCAUAGCUGGUCUGAGAGGAUGAUCAGCCACACUGGGACUGAGACACGGCCCAGACUCCUACGGGAGGCAGCAGUAGGGAAUCUUGCGCAAUGGGCGAAAGCCUGACGCAGCCAUGCCGCGUGAAUGAUGAAGGUCUUAGGAUUGUAAAAUUCUUUCACCGGGGAAGAUAAUGACGGUACCCGGAGAAGAAGCCCCGGCUAACUUCGUGCCAGCCGCCGCGGUAAUAC